UGAGACACGGCCCAGACUCCUACGGGAGGCAGCAGUGGGGAAUAUUGGACAAUGGGCGCAAGCCUGAUCCAGCAAUGCCGCGUGGGUGAAGAAGGUCUUCGGAUCGUAAAGCCCUUUCGACAGGGACGAUGAUGACGGUACCUGUUGAAGAAGCCCCGGCUAACUUCGUGCCAGCAGCCGCGGUAAUACGAAGGGGGCUAGCGUUACUCGGAAUUACUGGGCGUAAAGGGCGCGUAGGCGGCUUGGUCAGUCAGGCGUGAAAUUCCUGGGCUUAACCUGGGGACUGCGCUUGAUACGGCCAGGCUUGAGGCCGAGAGAGGGUGGUGGAAUUCCCAGUGUAGAGGUGAAAUUCGUAGAUAUUGGGAAGAACACCGGUGGCGAAGGCGACCACCUGGCUCGGUACUGACGCUGAGGCGCGACAGCGUGGGGAGCAAACAGGAUUAGAUACCCUGGUAGUCCACGCCGUAAACGAUGUGUGCUGGAUGUUGGGGUCCCUAGGAUCUCAGUGUCGUAGCCAACGCGGUAAGCACACCGCCUGGGGAGUACGGACGCAAGAUUAAAACUCAAAGGAAUUGACGGGGGCUCACACAAGCGGUGGAGGAUGUGGUUUAAUUCGAAGCAACGCGAAGAACCUUACCAGGUCUUGACAUACCGGGAUUAGCUGGGUGAAAGCUUAGUGAUUCUCGCAAGAGGUAACCGGAACAGGUGCUGCAUGGCUGUCGUCAGCUCGUGCCGUGAGGUGUUAGGUUAAGUCCUGUAACGAGCGCAACCCUUACCAUUAGUUACAUGUGUCUAGUGGAACUGCCCGGCAUAACUGGGAGGAAGGUGGGGAUGACGUCAAGUCAGCAUGGCCCUUUUGUCCUGGGCUACACACACGCUACAAUGGCCGGUACAAUGGGUCGCCAAGCCGUGAGGCGGAGCCAAUCCUUAAAGCCGGUCUCAGUUCGGAUUGCAGGCUGCAACCCGCCUGCAUGAAGGUGGAGUUGCUAGUAACCGCAGGUCAGCCACACUGCGGUGAAUGCGUUCCCGGAGAUUGUACACACCGCCCGUCACGUCAUGGGAGCUGGUAACACCUGAAGCCGGUGGGCUAACCGCAAGGAGGCAACCGUUGAAGGUGGGACUGGUGACUGGGACGAAGUCGUAACAAGGUAGCUGUACCGGAAGGUGCGGCUGGAUCACCUCCUUUCUAG
rnacentral:rRNA from 1 species